UUUCUGUAUUCUGUAUUCCCUGAAAAAUCAGCUCGGCUGUCUGCGCAAUUAGCAAGCCUGGGGUGAAAAAAACAACCCUCAAACAGAUGGGCCGUCCUGUGGGGUGACGCUUUUGGCAAUGGUCAAAGCCUGGGAUUUGUUACCAAUUGCUAUUCGUAUCUGGUUUUGCCUAUACUGCCAUUCUCCGCAAGCUGCCCUGUGCCUGGAAAGACCGUUCGCAUAGGUGAACCACAACUAGAGGCCAACAGAGAUGCAAGAGCAGGUUGCAGCAACAGCACAGCCCUCCUGUAGUUUUAUUUCCACCGUGUCUUGAGAUGAGGGACAUAAGGCAUGUGCUGCACAGCCACCGUGCUCUGAUCCGUAGCAUCCAUACUGGAUCAAGGGGUGGAACGUGGCAAUAACCCCGACAGUCUGAGCAGAAGCUCCCCAGCUAGUCUUGCAUGGCUGAAACACUGAACUUUUCACUGAUCCUCGUACAAAGCCACGUUCUUAAGACUUCAGAGUAUUAGGACCCACUAGCGAGUAAGUGCUUGCUCUAUACUAACCUAAAUUGUCAUUGUUUUACACACAACAGGUGAACAUACAUAUGAAAGCUUAAAUUAGUUGUAGACUAAUGAGCUACAGUGUAAGUGAAUGAAUAAUUGUGCAUACACACACAACCUGCACUUGGCAGGAGUCAGCAAGACCACGGUCUUGCUACCACUUGACUACCACGGCUUCACUCUGGACCAGAGGUGAGUCAAACAGAGAGGCUGAGCGUGAUGAACCACAGCCAGGAGGACAAGGCAAACAAGAAGCAAGUGCGACGAGCCUUGGCGCAGCCCAGAGAUCAACCCUGCACAGGAGAAGGUCACUGGAAACCGCAGGAAAGGCACGAUAUCAUCAUGGACUGAUGCAACGGACAGCACCUGGCGAGAAAGACCCUCGGGCAGACAUCCAAGCCCACAGAGCUGAUGCCAAGAUGCCAAAGAUUUAUUUCCUUUUGUGUAUUUGUCCCUUUGCGCGUGGACACCCUCUGGGAAAACUUCCGACGGCAGUCUGGGAUUAACGCGCUGUUAUCAGGAGUGAACUUUGCAAUUAAAGAAGAACUCGCGACAAAGAACAGGAGAAAGCAAGCCUGUUUGACCCUGAAUCAACUCCAAGUACCAUGGAAACAUCUGAAUAACAAGAACGCUCAUCAAAAUUUAAACUUCUUACAGCAGCGCCAAAGGCAAUGAAAAUUUUAUUGAAUUCCAGAGCCCUACUUUUCAACACAAAGAACACACGGUGCAGAGGCAGCAGAGCCCUCUGCAGCCUUUAGGCCCUCGCUUCCAAUUUUCAGUGCCGAGCUUCUGCGAGUUGAAACCCUCUAUUCCAGUUACUAUCACGGCACCUUCUCGUAAGCGAAGCUGCAAGAGAAGCUUGGGAGAUGAUUCUGUUUAGAUUCCCCCCCCCCGCCCCCCGCUCCUAAAAUGCCACUGUCUAAAAUAAAACACUCACACGGAUCCUCCAUCUUAUUUAAUGAAAGGAUCUGCAGCGCCGCUUCAAUCACCGUGGAAAAU